rnacentral:rRNA from 1 species
UACGUAGGGUGCGAGCGUUGUCCGGAAUUAUUGGGCGUAAAGAGCUCGUAGGCGGUUUUGUCGCGUCUGCCGUGAAAGUCCGGGGCUCAACUCCGGAUCUGCGGUGGGUACGGGCAGACUAGAGUGAUGUAGGGGAGACUGGAAUUCUUGGGUGUAGCGGUGAAAUGCGUAGAUAUCAAGAGGAACACCUGCGGCGAAGGCGGGUUGCUGGGCUGACACGUGACGCUGAAGCGCGAAAGCUAGGGGAGCGAACGGG